rnacentral:rRNA from 1 species
UGCGUAGAGAUGUGGAGGAAACACCAGUGGCGAAGGGCGACUCUCUGGUCUGUAACUGACGCUGAGGAGCGAAAGCGUGGGGGAGCGAACAGGGAUUAGAUACCUUGGUAGUCCACGCCGUAAACGAUGAGUGCUAAGUGUUAGGGGGUUUCCGCCCCUUAGUGCUGCAGCUAACGCAUUAAGCACUCCGCCUGGGGAGUACGGUCGCAAGACUGAAACUCAAAGGAAUUGACGGGGGCCCGCACAAGCGGUGGAGCAUGUGGUUUAAUUCGAAGCAACGCGAAGAACCUUACCAGGUCUUGACAUCCUCUGACAAUCCUAGAGAUAGGACGUCCCCUUCGGGGGCAGAGUGACAGGUGGUGCAUGGUUGUCGUCAGCUCGUGUCGUGAGAUGUUGGGUUAAGUCCCGCAACGAGCGCAACCCUUGAUCUUAGUUGCCAGCAUUCAGUUGGGCACUCUAAGGUGACUGCCGGUGACAAACCGGAGGAAGGUGGGGAUGACGUCAAAUCAUCAUGCCCCUUAUGACCUGGGCUACACACGUGCUACAAUGGACAGAACAAAGGGCAGCGAAACCGCGAGGUUAAGCCAAUCCCACAAAUCUGUUCUCAGUUCGGA